rnacentral:tRNA from 1 species
AUUUUUGAGUGUAAACAGACAGACUUAAAAUCUGUCGGGUAAUCCGUGCGGGUUCGAGUCCCGCUCCGGGCACCA